rnacentral:lncRNA from 1 species
GGCACAGCUAAAAUAUCGCGUGCAAUUGCAGACAUAACAGGAUAUUGAUUUCUAACACUCUUCCACCAAGAUAAUACAUCUAGAUUCUCUAUUUGAUUUUUUUUGGUGAAAAAUAGGAGGGGAGGGGGAGGGACCAGCCCACCCGCGUAGCAGCCCCAUUACUGGGCCCCCCUUCCACUAGGGAAUGUUCGAUACAGGUCGCAGGUUUCGCGUGCCUUCCCCGACCCGUGGGCUCACCCCAUUGGGUUCACCGCCUCACGUGUGGGUACGUCACCCCAGCGCCACCUUGAUACAAGUGGAAGGAAAGCAUAACCGCCAACAAGCCAGCCGGGCGUGGGGCAUCCGGUCCCCUAAUUUAAUCGACGCCCGCGCGUUUCGAACCCGGACAACUUGGGCGGAAUUAUCGCCCCCUUACCACCAGGCUACUACCUUGGUGGCAUUCUCUAUUUGAUUUUCAUCAUAUGCAGAAUGAAGAUCAUUUCGUAAAUAAAAUUCUAGUUCACUACUUAAAGAUGAAGAAGAUGAAGAGGAACUUGAAGCAUGUGUGUGUCUUCUCUGUGCAAUGAAUGAAAAA